UUCAGUUUCAACUUAACAGAAAAACCUUUAGGUAGAGAUAAAAUAGAAACCAGCACCUCCAUUUGAUCUUUCCCUGCCUGGUCUGUUUGAAGAGCGGCUGUGUUUGGACAAUGACGGAGUGUCGCUCUGUUGCCCAGGCUGGAGUGCAGUGGCGUGAUCUCGGCUCACUGCAAGCUCUGACUCCCGGGUUCACGCCAUUCUCCUGCUUCAGCCUCCCAAGUAGCUAGGACUACUGGUGCCCACGACCACGCCUGGCUAAUUUUUUUGUGUUUUUAGUAGAGACGGGGUUUCACCGUGUUAGCCAGGAUGUUCUCGGUCUCCUGACCUUGCAAGCCGCCCGCCUUGGUCUCCCAAAGUGCUGGGAUUACAGGCGUGAGCCACCACGCCCGGCCCCACAUGGCAUAUUUCUGAUGUGGUGUUUCCUAGCACCCAGGAGUCCAGCAGUUUAGUUUAUAUCAUUAAACUUAAAUGGAUUUAAGUUACUGGUCAAUUGAACAGCAUUCUGGUGUUCACCAUUUUAGAACUACUAAUGGUAUCACAGACUGCCCUCUAAGGGGGGUAGGGGAAGAAGAAAAGAAGUUUUCAACUGAGUUUAUAGGCAAGGAAUAGAAAAGCCC
rnacentral:lncRNA from 1 species